CACGUAGGGUGCGAGCGUUGUCCGGAAUUAUUGGGCGUAAAGAGCUCGUAGGCGGUGUGUCGCGUCGGCCGUGAAAACUUGGGGCUUAACCCUGAGCUUGCGGUCGAUACGGGCAUCACUGGAGUUCGGCAGGGGAGACUGGAAUUCCUGGUGUAGCGGUGAAAUGCGCAGAUAUCGGGAGGAACACCGGUGGCGAAGGCGGGUCUCUGGGCCGAUACUGACGCUGAGGAGCGAAAGCGUGGGGAGCGAACAGG
rnacentral:rRNA from 1 species